rnacentral:rRNA from 1 species
GACGAACGCUGGCGGCGCGCCUAACACAUGCGAGUCGAACGAGCGAGCGAGAGCUUGCUUUCUUGAGCGAGUGGCGAACGGGUGAGUAACGCGUGAGGAACCUGCCUCAAAGAGGGGGACAACAGUUGGAAACGACUGCUAAUACCGCAUAAGCCCACGACCCGGCAUCGGGUUGAGGGAAAAGGAGCAAUCCGCUUUGAGAUGGCCUCGCGUCCGAUUAGCUAGUUGGUGAGGUAACGGCCCACCAAGGCGACGAUCGGUAGCCGGACUGAGAGGUUGAACGGCCACAGUGGGACUGAGACACGGCCCAGACUCCUACGGGAGGCAGCAGUGGGGAAUAUUGCACAAUGGGGGAAACCCUGAUGCAGCGACGCCGCGUGGAGGAAGAAGGUCUUCGGAUUGUAAACUCCUGUUGUGGAGGAAGAUAAUGACGGUACUCAACAAGGAAGUGACGGCUAACUACGUG